rnacentral:rRNA from 1 species
UACGUAGGGGGCAAGCGUUAUCCGGAUUUACUGGGUGUAAAGGGAGCGUAGGCGGUUAUGCAAGUCAGAGGUGAAAACCCGGGGCUCAACCCCGUGAUUGCCUUUGAAACUGCGUAACUGGAGUGCAGGAGAGGUGAGUGGAAUUCCUAGUGUAGCGGUGAAAUGCGUAGAUAUUAGGAAGAACACCGGUGGCGAAGGCGGCUCACUGGACUGUAACUGACGCUGAGGCUCGAAAGCGUGGGGAGCAAAC